rnacentral:rRNA from 1 species
UACGAAGGGGGCUAGCGUUGCUCGGAAUCACUGGGCGUAAAGGGCACGUAGGCGGCUAGAUGUGUUAUAGGUGAAAUCCCCGGGCUUAACCUGGGAACUGCCUAUAAAAACUGUUUUGGCUAGAAUAUAGGAGAGGUAAGUGGAAUUUCCGGUGUAGCGGUGAAAUGCGUAGAUAUCGGAAAGAACACCAGUGGCGAAGGCGACUUACUGGCCUAAUAUUGACGCUGAGGUGCGAAAGCGUGGGGAGCAAACGGGG